GGGGAUGACGGGCUUCGAUAAUGAUGUCCCGCGUGCCUGCGAACCGAGCGUGACCUCGCUAAACUCACAAAAAACUUAACUGCCAACUUUAACGUUGCAGCUCCGUCCCGCGCUUUAGCUUACGCUUAAGACCUGACGGCGCCGAUUACUCUGGGUCUCUUAGAGUAAAUCCGGUGUUAUACAAGGAGACUGGCAAACAGCUUUUGAUUCCGGACUGUUUGCGAGAAAUUGGAUCACUCUGAGAAAUCAGAAUCGCCUGAUCCGCCAGCUGGCGGAAAUCAGACUACGUUCGUAGAUGGCUCGUGUUCUUCAUCUUUACACGGCGGUUCGACUCCGCCCAUCUCCACAU
rnacentral:tmRNA from 1 species